GGGCUAGUGGCGCAAUGGAUAACGCGUCUGACUACGAAUCAGAAGAUUCUAGGUUCGACCUAGCUAGCUCG